GUGCGAACUGAAACACAGGAGCCUCCAUCUGAACAUCAGGAAAAGGUUUUUUACUGUAAGAAUGACCCAGUGUUGGAAUAGGUUGUUCAGAAAGGUCAUGGAGUCUCCAUCCAUGGAUGGAGAAGCAGUUUGGACACAGUCCAGGACAGAGUUCUAUAGUUGGCCCUGUUUGAGUAGGGUAGCUGGACUAGACUUUCAGAGGUCACUUCCAACCUCAACCGUUCCGAUUUCCAUUUCUAACAUGGGCAGUUGUUAAAUUAAAGAACAGAUUUACUCCAAUGAUAUCAUGGACCUAGUACCGCAAAGUCACUUUGUACCACAGAAAUGCAAGGGAUAUUGUUCAUUUGCCCAGCAUACUGGGGUGGCAUCAAGUCUCUUCAGAGUAUUUGUCAGUCUAGUUCUUGGAAAUUGUCAGAGGCAAGAGAUCUCACACCAUCCUUGGGUAUCUUGUUCCUUUCUUUUACUGUUCUAUUAAAAAUUUUCCUAGUCUAAAUAAGCUCAGCUGCAAGUUCAAACUUUCCUGUUCCAUACAGAACAUCACUGAUUGCUGUCCUCUUCAUAAAGCACUUGGGUGUAUUGAACACGGAGACUCUUGUGAUUGGGCUGUGUUCUCAGAUGGCAGCAUUUUUGAGACAAACGUCCAAGCAGCCUUGUUUUGUUUUGUUCUGUAUGAGCCGCGUUUGCUAAAACUAUUGUCCUUGCAGUUCUCUCUUCAGUGCUUUCUGUUUUUUUGUCAGCAGUUUUAAACACAGUGCUCCAAACUGAGUAUGGGAUUCCAGUUGUGAUUUGUUAUUAGCACUGAAGAACUGUAAUUGCUUUCCAGAGACUUUACUGAUAACCCUCCUGGGAGGAUAACACUCCUGCUGGAAAUCAGACCUGCUUCUUUGGGCAACAGUCUAGUAUUGGCUACAUGGAUUUUUUAAUCCAUUGUGAGCACCCCGUUCUCUCUGCUCUACUGCUUUCUUGAUUUUAUCUUCUUUGUAUGGUAUCUCAUGUCUAAUUUAUUUUUUUUUUAAAUGUUGAAACCUCUUUUGGUUGAUGCUUUCUUUACUAGUGCUGCUUUGAUUUUCUGGGUUUAAUCUUUGAAAAAGAAAUCUUGGUACAGAAUUGUUUAUUUUGGACACUUUUACCUAAGUUAUUUGACCUGUGUCUUGAUAACAUCUAUAAAUUUUAAAAGCCAAUGUUUGUCAUUCAAGCCAACAGUUAAAAUUGUUGGAAAGAAUAACAUCCAGGAAAUAAAAUGUCCAUCUCCUGGUUAUUUAUCUGCUCUCUUGUGAGUACAGUUGAUCAAGGAUAUGAGUCCCCACAUAAUUGUACUUUAGAUUACAUUUCUCUAACUUGUUUAGAAGUGUAUUUAGGAAAAAUUAUGUUUUGAGAACACAUUAAAAUAGGCUGGUACUUCAUCUGUAGUUUUCCUUUCAAUCUUUUGGUUAAUUGCUCUGCUAGAAUAGAAUGGGGAAGAUUUGCCAUUACAUAAUGUGUGUCUCAGUCCUCUUCUCAGAAAUAUAUUCUGUACUUUGACUCUUAAGUGGGAGACCUGGAUCCCUGUGGAAGCCUUGAAAGUAAUAUGUCCUGUGAAAAUACUUGAAAUGCCCUUGUCCAAGGGAAAGGGAAAAACCAACAAAAGUAGCUCAACAUCUCAUAUGAACUUCUCCUGUGAAGAGAAGCCAAGUAUUUUACAUUGAAGCCUGAAAUACUGAGAAUUUGCAAAAACAAUUUGUUCUAACUGUAGAAAAAGAGCAGUCCUCUCCUAUUCUGGUAGAGGCCACAAGCUGGAGAAAGUAACACGAGAGUAUUUGGCUUUUUUUUUAAGUAGUAGGAUGGAAGAAAUAGUAUUUAAAUAAGGUCCUAGCUUGUAAAUGCAUUUGACUUCAUGCUAUUUGCUAUACCAUUUUCCAGAGAAAUCAACCACCCUCUAAGGUAUACUGAGAAAAAAUACAUAAAUUAAAAAAAACCAAAACUUUCUCCAGUACCUUUGUUCUAAGUGAUGUGGUACCUGAAUUGUGUAUCAGAAGGUUUUUUUUCUUUGGUUUUUUUAAGUGUGAAUUUGCUUGCUAGUAAUUAGUAGAGAUAGAAUGCAAUACUGUGGAAGAGCUUACUUAAACUGCUUUCCUGGAGUGGACCGCUUUGAAUUUUGGGAGUUUUUCCCUUUGUAUUAUCUCACUGAGGCACUCCUGUGUUGUUAUGAGGAUUUAUUUUGGAUAUUGCUCUUUUCCACUUCAGUGGUAUCUUUUCUCAUAUAAUGAUUGGUUAUGAAAGCAGCUUUGCUUUUCUGGUAUUAUAUGUUGACAAAAGAAAAUAAAUACUUGACUUUUCCAUUUUAAAAGUAGAAGUUUUGGAAAGGAAAAAAGGCAUAUGUAAAAUUGGUUGGCGUCAGCAGUGCAAAGCUUCUUUCUCACUGCAGCCUGCUUGACAGUGGGGCUGUGCAGGUUCAGGGUCCCAGACCAAUCUGCACCUCUGUGAGGAGAAGCCAGCUGGCAUUUUUGGGGCUUGUGUUGCUGAGGUGUAGUUAUACCUAAAUAUAGCAUGUAGAUCCCUCCAUUUGUAAGAGAGCAGAAAGAUUCCUGCCUUGGCUCCCUCAGGACGGAAGUACAGACACAGUAAAACAGAUGCUUCAUGGUGUGUCUGCAAAUCGAGAUACCUUGUGAGUUUUUCAUUGUUAGUUUGAAAGUUACUAGUUAGUUAGUUCAUUGUUCAUUGUUAGUUAGUUCAUUGUCAGUUAUUCCAGCCUUCUGCAGAAAAGGCAGUUUCUUCUUUCCACCAGAAAAUGCCAUCUACCACAGAGAUCUCUGAGCAUUGUUCUAUUGACUGCUGGUCAGUGCAGUAUUUUUAUCAGCCUUUCUACUGUUGUCAGAAAGGAUCAGGAAUUAAGAGUGCUCCCCCCUCCCUUAAGGGUGGAGAGAUACUGCGGUCUGUGUUCUCCUCUGUAUUUUGUUGCAACAUACUGACUGUUGCUUGUGUACUUUUCAAUACAGAAGUACUUUUAAAAUGUUGGAAAUACCUUCAGAUGCCUCCUUCUGUCUAUGACUAUAGGUAUUAAUUCUGAUUUUUUCACAGAAAAAUCUUGAAGUAUCUUAAUGUUGAGAGGUGUUUUCCUUCCCUCUUUCAGUUCAGUUUCUUUUCUUCGGUGUCAUGUUACAUUUAGAGGCCAUAAUGAAUUGUCAUAAGGUAAUACUUUGUAAGCAACUGAACUGUAAAAGCCUGAAAUUAUAAAACCAUUUGGAAUUCUCUAGUGGAAGAAAAAAUGAUGUGGUAUAUAAAGACAGAAAGAGUCUGUCCAAAGCUUGUGUCUUCAUAGGAACUUGAACAGAAAAAUGCUUAGAACUGGAGGAUAUUCUUGUUGUUGAGACCUUUCUAGAUGCUUUUAGUUGGUUGUCAUGUGGGUUGUUCCAAGCUCUUACUCAAAGCAGAGUCAAAACUGAAUUUAGACUUUUUAUCUGAAUUCAGACUGAGGGUAUCAUCUUGUCUCGAAAACAGUGAGGAACAUGCUACAACUUCUCUGGGCAACCCUAAGGGAAAAGGUUUUUAGGACAUCUAAUUGGAACCUUUUCUGUGUCAAUUUGUGUCCUUUUCUCUUCCCAUGCAUCUCAGUGGAGAUCCUGGCUCUGUCUUUGCAGUUACUUCUGCUUAGCUCUCAGACUGCUCUUCUGUUUUCCAAGCCUUUUUUCCUCUGGGCCAUACAAUCCCAGCUCCUUCAGCCAUUCUUCAUGGGGAAGGUACUGCCCUUUGCACAACCCCCAUCCAGUUAGCAAUGUCUUUCUUGAAACUUGUCCUUUGUCUUGUAACUUGUAACUUUGGGCAGAUGAUGUUGGAGGUUUCUAGAAGUUGUAGCUGAUGAAUUUGUAGCAGAUGGGGCUAAUGCUCUGUUUGCCCUAUUAUACAACAAAGAUGAAAGAGUCUGGUGGAUCUUGAAUGAUCAUGAGAUGACUGAGUUCAGGAUUUGGAGAAAAUUGGGCAGUGAAAUUAGGCCUGGGGACUGGACUGUUGCUUAUCUGAGAACUUGUUAAAUUAGAAUCCCUGGGGGAGGUGUUUGAUAAAGGACUUAUAAAAGGAAAUUUGAAAAUCUGAGCUGUUGGACAGCUCAAUAAAACACCAUCUCAUUUUCCAGGUAUGCCAGGACUUUAAACUGAAAAGCUCACUUGACUGGAUAAGAGACUUCUUUAAAAACAAAACCAAAAUCUUUAUGAAAAAGAACGUAUAAGAAGUGGAAACAUGGACCAGCAACAAGAGUAUGAAAGCAUUACUCAGGUAUUUAAGGAUGAAAAAUGAAAGGCCAAAGCCCAGCUGAGUUAGGGCUAAUGAAGAUUAAUAGGAAGGGUUUCUACAUGUUUAGUAGUAGAUAAGGGAAAAAUUGUAGGAAAAGGCUAUUCAUAUGCUCACCUGCAAAAAAGCCUGCAGCAAAACUCUGAAAGUAAUAGGUUAGUCAGCCUUAUUUCCAUCCCUGGAAUGAUCAUGGCUUGUGUCCACAUUGGUUAAGUUUGUAAAUACGUGGUCAAGAAUUUAUUACUUAAUAGUGUGCAUUUAACAAGAGUGUGCUUACUCAAUCUCGUUGCCUUCUGUGGCAAAAUGGCUCUCUGUAUGAAUGACGGAAGUGUCACCUUCUGAGGUUGCUAAGGGUUUGAAUAAUGCCACCAAGUGCAUUCACAUUUAGAGGUCUAAGGAAGUAUGGGCUGGAUGAACAAGCUGCUUAAUGGGUUGAAAAUCAGCAGGACUAUUAUCAACAGCUCAGCGUCCAGCUGGCAGCUGACUGAGUGCAGUAUGCCAAGGGUUGGUUCUGGGGUCCAUAUUUUUCAAUAUGUAGUGAUUUGGAUGAUGACAUAUAUUUGCAAAUUACACUGAAUUAGUGGGAGUGGCUGACAUGACAUAUGGCAAAACAUAAAUCCAGAGGGAUCCUGAGAGACUUAAGGCUCGGGCCAUCAAAAGCUUCCUGAAGUAGAACACGAAGUGCAAAGUGUUGCACCUGAUGCUUAACAAUACCAUGAAUCAGUACAGCUGGGAACUGAUGGGCUAAGUGGCCACUCUGCUCAAAAGAACCUGGGAUUAUGGUUGAAAGCAAGUUGAAUAUUAACCAGUAGUGUGCCAUCAUUGUCAAUAAAUCUGGUGCUGUCCUACAUUAGGAGCAUAGCCAGCAGAUUAUGGGAAAUCGUUGCUCGGUCCUUGGCACUGUGCAUCCUCUACUAAGGACGUUCCUUUUGGGCUCACUAGAAAAGUAAAUGUCAGGAAACUGCAGAUGUUUCAGUGGAUGGUUGUCAGGGUGGUCUGCAUGGACCUGCAAGGGGAGGCUGAGGGGAGUGAGCCUUGUCUGGUGUAGAGUGAGCUAACAGUCGGCAACUAUUUGAAGGACAUUUAUAAAGAUGAUGGAGCCAAGCUUGUCUUAGUAGUAACAGAUGGUGUAACAAGGCCAAAGACCUGUUUUUAGCUUGAGAGGUUUACAGUGAACAUUAAGAAAACUUAUUCCGGUGGGAAGGUAGUGUAGCACUAGCGCAGGUUAUCCAGAGAAGCCAUAAAGCCUCCUCAUAAAAGUUUUCAGGAGCUGGGUGGAUGGAUAUCCAUCCAUCUAUCCUUAUUGUGUUUAAAUAUGCAAGGUAAGGGAUAUAUUGAAGCUUCCUGCCCUUUGAUAGUUCUACAUUAUCUCAUUUUGUUUUUCUUUUAUUUUUCUCGGGGGUGUGUAUGUAUAGAUGUGAAAUCUCUCUAUAUCCAGGGAGAUGAUUUAACAUUCCUUAGCAGCAAGUCUUGCAGUCAAUGAACGUACCUCCAGUGUUUAGGGAAACAGAUGGGAAAAGAAAGAACCGCAGUUGUGUCCCUUUAAACAAGAAUGCUUUGUUCAGCAUUGGCAGCAGUAGUCUCUUGGGCAUUGUCCUACGGAAACAUGGUAAUUUUUUAGACUUCAAGAUCGUAGUCUGGCUUUUCUUCCUAUCGAGGGAGUGAAAGUCUAGGCAGAGUUCUAGGCAAGUUUUGUUGGUUUUUAUUUUUAUCUUUGCCAUAAUGAUGAGACAUUCUGUUCUAGUAAUGAAAUUCUAAAAGAACUUUUGGGGAACCCUUAGUAUCCUUGUAGGCUUUGUUGCUUCCAAUCAGCCUCUCAACUGAAAUGGGGCUGAGAAAGUGGGAUCUUAUGUGUGCUUGGGUAUCUUCACAUGUACAUCCGUGCACACAUUUGACUGCUUUGGAGAGCUGGGAUUUUCUCGGAAGCAGUUUGCUCUUGAGUUCCUUGUACUUCACUAAAUCAACAUCUCUUCCACAAGGGCUCUCUCUGUCACUGAUGGAUGGCAAUUCAAGUUCAGCAUAGCAGGAAGCAAGAAACUGGAAAGCACUAGAGAGCUUGAGAAUUCUUAGAUAUGUUUAGCAAUUCCUGUCUGUGGCUUCAAGAGUUAGUAAAAACUAGGUGUAUUCACACCAAAAGGCUGAGUUUACUCUGUGAGACUAAACAAUGACUUGCUGCAGCAACAUAGUCAGUGCUUAAUAUGUUUCGUGUGAAAUAAUCCUCCAUUCUCACUAGGACAACACUGAUUAUCCCCCUACCUUCAUCAUACUUGCUGCUUAAUUGUUACCUUUCAGAAGUAGGAUGCAUUUGAUACUGUUGUCUGGAACUGACAGUAAUUUUAUAAUAAUCUUUAAGUGUAGCUCUUCUUUAGUGGGCAGAUAUGGUGAACUGGAACCAUAAUAUCUGAGUGAGUUGCUCAUGACUUUGUGUUUGAAAGCUGCAGCAUGGUUGUGGGUUGUGUGAGAGCUGUGCUUCCUUUCUCCUAAUUUGAGGCAGUGGCACUUCAGAGUUUGUUGCACAAUUUCUGGAGCUGUUUGUCUGGACAAUGUGUUGCUUGGGCAAUCCUAGGCUGCUGAUGCAGGGCCUUUUGCCAACUAAUUGCCCAACUCUUUUCCCUCCUGUACCUUGAUUCUUGCACUGCAGUCAGUUCUCCAGUACAAUUAUUUACACAUGCAAUAAUUUUGUUGGUUUUGGAAAAAUUGUUUGUAAAUAUCUUUUCUGCUUAACUUUUCUAAUGCCACCCACUUCCCCCUCUGGGCCCUCCAGUUUCAAUAUUUACAUUUGUUUUUUUGUGAUUGAAGAAGUUCUUAAGUAGCUUGAACUUAAAAUAGCUCUGUUGGGCAAAAAGUAAACAGAAUGUCUCCUUACAAGUCUUGUAGCUGUGCAGGUCCUAAAGAUGAGCAUCUAGAUCUUGUUAAUGGUGCCCAACCAGGUAUAAUUAAGGCAAGGUUGUGCUGGGCAUUGCAGGAUCAUGCAGCAAGAUAAUUUUAUUACCUUAAACUGGUCUUGUAAGGCUCUAGAAGAGAAUGGUGUUUGUUGUUGUAUUAAUGCUGGUAGUCUCUAUGGGUUCCAGGCUAGCAGAUGACCACCAGCUGGUCUCCUGUCUUUUUCCACAUUGUCUCUUCUCAAGGUUGAAUUUUUCAAUUGUACCUCAUACACUUCAAAAUUUACUGCUAAAUAAUCUGCUUCUGUGGUUCUCGUUGCAUUCUUUUUCAUUUUAUUGCUGUCCUCUCUUGACUCUUCCAUGCUACACAUAGUUGCAGCCUUCACUUUUUUCAGUCCAAGUCUUUCUCCUCUGCUCCACUGCAAUGACUUUGUUCUUUGGUUUUUGGAUCAAUAGUGUAUGAGAUGUUAGAUGUGCACUGCUGGUAUUGCAUGCUUUCUCUGUCAGCUAACUGAUCUGCCUACCAUGUUCAAUACAGAAAAAACACUGCUUUUGUAUUAAUAUUGUGAUAUUUUAUGAAUAAAAUAUUACUUGACUCCACUAAUCCCCACCCUGUCUGAAAACAUCAAAAUAAGUUUUCAUCUGUUUAUAGAGAUGCUGCAAAAAGAAUACAGGAUCAAUAGCUGGGCUGCUAUGAAGUACAAAAAUACAGAUGCCAUCUAAAGCUGUUGAGAAAAAUUAAGAUAUGAUUUUAGUGCAUGAUAAAAGUAUGGUGUGUGAUGUCUGUUCCAUUAUGUAGUGUUACAUGUGCACCAGCUUGUUCUGACAUGUAAAUAAGGCAGUUCUGGUUUCCUUGUGAAGCUUUAUAAAUCGUGCAGCAUACCUGCUGAUAUCUUCCAAAGGGAGGAGGAUGUUUGCAAUUUUUAUGAAUCCUCAUAUGUAAGGAUGAUGCAAAUAACAUGAGUGAAAAACAUCGCUAAGUACAUAUUAUGCUGAGUUCUUAUUCAUCUUGCUGGGAUAUGUUCAGAACUGCUUGUAGUUGUUUGGUUGGUUUUUUUUUUUAUUUCGAGCAAUGUCUUUGGUUUGCCUUUUAAGCCCUUUUUAGUCCUUGCUGAGUCAGUCUCACUCUGCAGUCGAAAAUGAUAUGUGUUUAACCUAGUUUUUAGUAUUAAGACUUAACACCAUAAGAAACGUAGCCAUAGUUCUAGCAGAGUUGUUCUGCUGUGGUUACGUUGCAGACUUUCUAUUCUGAAAUGCAUGCUGAGCUUACUGAAGUGCAGAAGUUACUCCAGAACAAAUUGCUUGUGGCACAACCUCUUCAUGAGUGAAGUGGAGUGUCAAGUUACCUUACUGGCCAUGAAAGCAUCUGCCUGUCUUCAGGUAGUAAACAAGCUGUAACUCAUUCUUUCAUCUGUGUAUUCCUUCCAGGGUCUUGAAGACAACUGGUGACUCUCUGGAAUAUGAUGGUUUAAACAUUUCUUGUGUUAGUUUCAAGCAAAUUGGUUAGAUAUAUAUAUAUUUCUGAAAAUUGUUGUUUGAUCUUGUGUCCUGGGAACCAGAUGUAUUAUGCCAAUGGAUUUUUUUUAUGCUUAUUUUGAGUAUUUAGGCUUCCAUUUUUCAUGCAUAAUACUUAACUAAGUGGGUACUUCAGAGGAGAAUAACAAAGAUAAUUGUUAGAGUUUGAUGUCUACCCUUACCUUUGUGCUUCAAGCAAAUCUUAAAAUUUAAUACUCACCCUAGGUCAUGGUUUAUCCUGAAAAUUCAAAACAACCAUCAGAUUUAACAGUGAUGAAAACUAGAAGAGAACUGGAACAUAACUUGAGAAAAUGCUUUGCUUCUAAAUGCUGCAUGUAAACAAAAUGGCAUUAAUUCAGUUCGAGUUACACACAACGUCAGAAAAGGCUUGUUACCAAUAAACUGUCAAUCUUAUGUCUGUUCAUUUGCAGGAAGCUUAAAUGGGAUGUGGGGGGGAAGUAGGAACAUUUAUGACUCACAUGGAUCGGGAGAUAAUCAAUCUAAACCUAUGUUUACAUUUAAAAUAACAUAAGGCUUUAAAAAUGUUUCAAACUGUUAAAUAUUUGUCAUAUUGCAGUUUGUAAAUUUUGUGUCUUCAUGAUUCACUGGGGAAAAUGAAUUCACUGGGAGUGAGAGAAUAGCUCAGGCUGAAGAAGGCCGGUUUCCAGCGCAUGAGAUUUCACAGCCCCUGGAUGUUGUGAAAAUGAAGCUGGAAAGCAUUUGGCGUUGCUUGCAGGCAGGUGUGCACUCCCUGUUGACUCCCUGUUGCCCAUGGAGUCUUGGCACUUCCCUUUGUGUGGAAUGUCUGAGCAGAAAGGAGAGAGUGCUCUCACAUCAAAAUAAGCUCUAUUUUGUUGGUCGACUGUGUUUGCAUCAGUAAAUAUUAUACGUCUGUUAAAAGAUGGGCUUCUAAUUUAAUGCCCAGAGUUAUUGAAUAGCAACUGUGGAAUAAUUUCCUCCUCUGAAAGUUGGGAGUGGGGAGGGAAGAUGAGAGAGACAAACAAAGGAGACAGCCUAGUUCUCAGAGACUGAAAGAGUUUUUAUGCCUUGUUGAGGGUGUGAGUUCAGUGAUAUUGUCAGCAGAGAGAGUAUUGCCUUUCAGUAACAAUGAGUAUGGCAGAUCUAAGAUAACCUUGUCUUGAACUAGUACAGCAAGACUCUCUGCCUUCCCCCUGGAACCCUGGCUAUUUUGAAUUUCAUACUGAUGGCCCAGUAAUCUAUAUGUGAUGUAUGAGAAGCGUGCAUACCAAGGUAAAGACAGUGGAGUCUGCAAAAGGGCUUAUGUAUGUAUGCAUAUGUCAUGUAUGUUACAUAUGUAUGUUUACAUACAUGUGUGGAUUUGUGUGGCAGGGUUUGGAAGCAGGGAGGCUGCAGGGAUGGCUUCUGUGAGAAGAUUCAGAAGCUGGCCUCAUGUCAGAUGGAGCCAGUUCCAGCAAGUUUCAAGAUGGAGUUGCCACUGGCUAAAUCUGCGUCCAUCAGCAAUGUUGGAGCACCUCUGUGAUAAUAUAUUUAAGAAGGGGAAAAAAGCCCUGCAUAGCAGCUGUGAGAGGAGCGAGAAAACUGUGAAAGAAACAGCCCUGCAGACGCCGAGGCCACUGGAGGAGGAGGGACGGCGGUGCUUCAGGCACCGGAGCACAAAUUCCCCUGCAGCCUGUGGUGAAGAGCAGGUUGAGGCAGGCCCAUGGCCCUCUUGGAGGCCCACGGGGGAGCAGAGAUCCACCUUCAGCCCAUGGAGGACCCACAGCAGGAGCAGAUGGAUGUCCCUAGGAGACUAUGCCCCUAUGGAGAAAGGAGCCCAUGCUGGAGCAGGCUGGAGGACACACUGGAGCAGUCUGUUCCUGAAAGACUCUGCUCUAUGGAAUGAUCCCAUGCUGGAGCCAGUCCUGAAGAACUGUAGACCGUGAGAAGAUUGCAUUCUGGAGAAGUCAGUGAAGGAGUGUAUCCCAGGGGUUGGAUCCUAUCCUGAAACAGGUGAAGGAAGGAGAAAUGGAAGAGGAGGAAGCAGCAGUGAAGAGACACUUCCCAUUUUCCCCAGACCCACUCAGUGAGGGAGGAAGUAGAAGAGUCUGGGGUGAAGUUGAUCCUGGGAAGAAAGUGGGGGGGAAAGUUUGUUUAGUUCUGUUUUUAUGUCUCACUAUCCUGCUGUUAUUAAUAGGCAAUAAGAUAAGUUAAUCUUCUUCAAGUUGAAUUUGUUUUGCCCAUCACAGUAGUGAUAUUUCUAUACUUUGGUCAACCUGAUAGGAUAUAUGACCCAGCCUUGUAACACUGUUGUAGCUCUUCCCUGAUCUCUGGCUCGGCAGUGUCCCUGGCUGCUGCCUUCACACAGGUCACCUGGCACACCCCAGCUUGGUGUCUUCUGAAAAGUGAUGUGUUCCAUCUCUUCUUCUAUAUGGAUGCAGAUGUUGAACAGGAUAGGUUCCAGGAUAGAUGCCUAAGGGAAUUCCCAUUACAGCGUGUCUCCGGUAGUGUUCAAACCACUACCCACUUCCCUUUGAGACCAGUGAUCGAGACAUCAAUAAUCGAGACAUCAAUAAUAGACCUAUCCCAGCGUGGAUGUGGGGAUGUUGUGGGAGACCACGCUGAAAACCCAACAAUCGAGAUGAACAACUUUUGCUGGUCUCUCAUCCAAGAUGAUGAAAAGGCAUAAUUAAAGAUCUUCAGUGUGUGUGAUUGGUGAGUGAGCAUUCAGCUUAUCACUCUCUUCAUCUAAAUUGUUUGUUUUCCCCCAACAUACGGUGUUUUCAAUACAGGGAGAUGAAAGACUAGUCUCUCUUAGCCUACAGACUCUCUGGCUGUAUCAACAGUCAUAUGUGCUUUGUUGCUCAGCCUGAAUAAACUUCAUGACAUGCUGUCUCUUUCAGAAUCGGCACAGCUGAACAAGUGAGUUGACACUUGUUCUUCCUGCCUCAGCAGUGUGGUGUUGUAUUUGGUUGCCCUUAAAGGCUCUGCUGGCUACAUACGUAUGACUUUGAAGUCAUCUGAGUUGCUGGUGUUAUCUAAAAGCGGUCAGGAAGCGAAGUUGUCCCUGCAGCCGGAGUUUGGCUUGCAGAACUUGGCUCCAACAGAAGAACCUGAGUUUGCUCUUGAUUCUGUCCAAGUCUGUAAGUCUAGUAAUGAGACACAUUGUUCAUAUUAAUAAUGUCUCCAGGACAGUGAUGGAUUCCCCAACACUAGACACUUUUAAGAUUGACCUGGACAGGGUACUGGGCCUUCUUGUCUAGAAUGUGCUUUUGCCAAGGAAGGCUGGACCAGAUGACCCUUGAGAUCCCUUCCAACCUGGUAUGCUAUGAUUCUAUGAUUUGUGGUAGAAAACAGAAUUAGGACAGCAAAAUAUGAUCCUCCAGUGACUUAGUGACUUUUCAGACUGUCAGAGUAUUUGGUAUUAAUGCUGAUAGUUUAAGUUCUAUUGGAUAUAUAAUUGAAGUAUUGCAAGUUUGUGGGAGUUCUCUGCUCUUGCGUUCACUUUCAUUGUGAAAUAAAAUUCUUCUGAGACAAAGGGACUGUUACCAAUUUUGUUGGCUUUAUAAAUGAAGGUUUUUGUUACUGUCUGCAAAGAACUGGUGGUACAGUCUUUGCUGGAGCCAUCAAAGUGGUUUCAUUUUUAUGUAGUUUAUUAUCCCUUUGACUAAAAUCUAUUCUGUGAAGUGGCUUGGUGUUGCAGUGACUCUUGGAUAUGGACUUUGAUGUAUUCAUACUACAAGGCCUUAGUGACAUUUUCUUCCCUGAAAUAAAAAAAAAUAAAUUAGAAGUUUCACUUAAAAAUUAAGUUGUUAUUUUAAAGAACUGAAGUGAUAGCAGUUCACCCAUUUGUGACUGGCCAAUUUGGAGUAUCAGGUCUGAUCUAUCUUGAGAGUCAGCCUCUAAGAAAAUAAAAGUUGUCAAGCGGAGCAAAACUUGUGUUGAGGUUUAAAUGCCCAGGUUAAAAGAACCAGCCACAAGGAAUACCCCAUCACCAGUUUAUGAGUUCUCCUGAAUCUCUGGGAGACACUACAGCAAUAGCAAAUUUUCCCUAUGUUUGUCUGGUGGUCUGAAUUAAACAUGCAAGCUCCUAUUGAGAUGUUGUUAAUACACAUGUGUAAUAGGCCAGCUGAUAAACUGAUACUAUUUUUUUUUUUUUACUUCUUUAUGCUGCUUGGGUUUAAUUUCCAUGAGAGAUUUUUGAUUCUGUUUUAUUUCCCCUUGCCAUGCAGAUGUCCAGAAUUCAUUUCAUGGCAUGGAGCAGGCAGGAUAACUGACCCUGAAAGCAAAGGUCAAAACUCAAACCUUCCUGCAAACCACUAAAAGCUGCAGCUUGCUCCAAAUGGAUUUUCAAAUCAAACCAUAUGUGGGGCAGCAUUCUGGCUAUUGCAAGUCUGUCUAUACUCUCUGGAAUGUAUGUACAUGUACCUUUGAUCAUGUGUUUUCAUUUGUAUUUUUGCCUUAAUAUUUCUGAGGGCUGUCAUUUAAACUACAUCCAGAGGAAGUGCUGGCACACAACACUCCCUCCAAGUAGGCAGCAAAAACUGCAGCAUGCAGGGAACCUGACCGGGAAGAAGCCUGACACUUGUGCAAAUUAGUGGUUCUUCUUUUCUCACUUCUUCAAAAACAUCACAUUUCCAGACUCUGAUGAAUACUGUGCUUUUCUGCAUACUGACUCUGGGGUCAGAGAUUCUGUUAAUAAUGAGAGAUUUUAUCUUCUCAGCCUCUUAGCUAACUCGAUUGGAUGAUCUGUUGGUUGACAUGAAAUAUUAACAAAUCAUUUUUGGCUAAAACCCAGUGUUUCUGCUCCUCAUAUUAACACUCAGAACUUCUAAGUUUAUUCAGUAAAAAACACCAGACAUGAGUCCAUGUUCAUCUUUUAGAAUGAGGAUAAACAGAACAUUGUGCUGCCAUGCCUAUUUCAGUACAAUAAGGUGUUCACUUGUCCUUCAGAUUUGAAUAUUUGUAAGAGAGCAAGAAGUUAAAUACUAUAGUAUGAUGAGAAUUUAUCUUGUCGUGUAAUUCCUUGGCAGCAGUGAGAAGAUUAGAGUGCUAAACUUCGUUAUAAUAAACCUAGCUCUGCCAUUGCUUUUAACUGAGCAGUAGCAUGGUGUGAGAGAGGUGUUUUCUAUUAACUUGAACUGCUGUUUAUUCUUUUUUAUAGUUGUUCUAAUGAAGUUUUUUGAAUAAGAACCACAUGGCUUUUCAUCUUGUAUAUUCUGUCUUUCUUGAAAGUAAAUGUAAUUUGUAGUGAUUGUCUUUAAUUGCAUAUACUUGUCUAAUUAUGUUUAAAAAUAAUUGUCUUCUUGGCUGUCCACUAAAUGAAAUACUUUUACUGGCAAACUUCCCUGGUCUUCCUCUGUUUUUAAAUCUGCUGAUUAUAAACCUGCAAUUUAAGAAGUUUUACUGAUUUUUCUGAAUCUCUGGAUUUUUGGGUCUCUUCAGAGAGGAGCAAAUUAUUGGAGUUGAUUCUUUGGAGAAGACUAUGACUUAGUGUAUGAAAGAACAAAGAGUGAAGAGUACUGAAGUCAGUUGGCCGUCUGAAUAAACAACUUCAAAAAGAGUUUCUUUGCAUUUUUAAAUCCAUCGAGCUUCUGAGGAAAAGACCACAUUAGAGCUUCGUCCUCAAGUUCCAAACUCCCUUUUUGGUCACUGCUUCUGUUUCACAUCUUUGAACUUUUUUUACUGGCUGUAACUGUCAGGGUGAUUAAUAAUAAAUAUGAUUUACAUGGAAGGUUUAGCACAUUAUGGGGUAAUUAAUAUAGGUAAUUAAUUCUAAUGCUAGCAUGCAUGUGGAAUUAAUUUUGUGCUAUGAAAAAUGCCACAAGUAGUAUAUGUUAUUGAAGUUUAAAAAAAGACAUAGAAAUAAUUGACUGUGAAUUAUGUGAGCAUUAACAGUGUGCAAGUUUAUGCUGGAGGAGAGGAGUGGUUCUAAGGAACUUUUUGUUUUACCCAGACAUAAAAGUAAAUCCAUGCAGCAUACAUGAUGUGUACUACUAAAGGAAUCUGCACCUUUUUGCUUUUACAGGUCAGCACUUGGUGGUGGGGAUUCUGUUCUGUGCACCCAGAAGUGACAAUCUUUAAGGCAUUAUGUAAGAUACCAGUUCCUAGAGCAGCUGUCCUAGGUUUUGCCUUCCAGCCACAGCACAGCUUCGUGGCCUCCUCCUUGCCUGGAUAGCAGUGUUAGGAAGCAGCUUUUGGCAUGCCAGGCUCAUGCCAGGCUCUGCUGUGUGGUCUUUUGUGUGAGGAGGGGGUUUGAGAGCACUGUUAGCUUGAAUUAGUAGUGAUGUUUAACUGAUGUAACUUCCCCCUGUAGCCAGUUCUUUACAAGGCAUUCAGCUGCCCUGACAUACCUCUUGGGUAGGAAUCAGGAGCAGAACCUGUGACUUGUCUGGCUGGGGGAGUGGGAGCCCUGCAGCCUUAAUUUUUGUCAUGUGCAACUACUUGUGUUGCUCGUGUGUCUGACUGGCCAUUACUGCUGGUCUGAGCUGUGUUUGUGCUGAAGCAAGGUUGCCAGUAGAGCCUUAUAGAUAAACUGCUUUAUUGUAGGCAGUCAUAAAUGUGUCCUAUUUAAAAACUAGUUUGAAAAAUUGGAAAUAGUUGAGUCAGGCACCAUACAUGUGAAUUGUAUAUGAAGGAUGUGUCUAUAUGGAAAAUUCUGUUUGUACAAUUGCAUCUGUUUAAAAACAGUCUGCUCCUGGAGCAUUCAAAUGCAGGUGUAUAAGAAAGCAAAGAUGUCAUUUGAAACUUUGGUACUGCAUUAGCAUAAGAAAGUGCAGAGUCUUUACUAAACUCUCUCGGGAGCUCUUCUGAUAGCACUUGCCUAUUUCUUCUUGUUCUUUUUAAUGUCAUCUUAUGCCAGUGUUCCAGGUUAUUUCUCAAAUACAGUUUAAAUUCAUGACCCAGAAUUUUCUCUAGCUCUCCAGAAAAAUGGCACCUCUAUCCCAUCAUGAUUUGUGCAGGAGGGCAAUGGGCAAGGGCAGCCUAAAGCAUAACAUUGUGUUGUGUUUGAUGUAUUGCCUCAAAGAGGUGGCUUCCACUUCAAUGCCUGUAGCUUAGCUUUAUCAAAUAAUACCUCUUCCUUUGAGAAUGCAGAACUGUAAAUUUUAUUUUGAGUGAAAUCAUGUAGGUUAAGGAAUCUCAGCAUAGGUGUUUGUUCUCCUUAUCCUAGCUACUUUGUGUUUCCACCACUUUGUGUUUGAAGGGCAUGUAAUAUUUCAAGUGGGUCAGGAGAGGGAGCUGGCAUUCUAGGGGUGAAAAAGAAUCUUCUUCACAUACAAGUAAAUAUUUUUUAAUUAUGCUUCUGCAUGUAUAAUUGUGAUGGGGCAACCUCUCUGUUCCUGAAAUAACAGGAGUCCAGACUGACUUCCAGAACAUAAAGUUGCAAGUAAGGAUUUUUUUUUUUUUACUGCUUUGUUCUGUGGCUGAUGGUUGCUUUUAUCUGUUGCCUGAGGAUCCCAUUUAGAAGUGCUGACAGUGCUUUUCUCUUGGGAAGAGGUCUGUGUUGCCAGUAGUACAUGUAGGUGACAGGGACAAUGAGCAGAACCUCAUCUGAGUCUAAUAAAAUAAAAAUGUCACUGCUGGUAAUAAUGUUGACAGUAGUAAUUGCACGCAUAGGGCACCCACCAUGGUAGUACCUGCCUGCCCUUCAUGUGACUUUUGGAGAGAUUAAAGGCUUUCCAAAGACAGCAUGCCCUUUAGAUGGGGGAUGGAAAUGUGAAAUUGCCCAGCAUAAGGGUGUCCCCGCUGCAGUGGGUUAACCUUAGCCAUCAGCCAGGCUCCUCCCCAGCCCCUCUGCAGGAUGGGGGUAGAAAAUAUGGAGAAGGAAUGAGAAUUAAAAGGCUUAUGGGUCAAGAUAAAGCUGAAUCUUUCCCUAACUGAAAUCCACUCCUUCACUCCUAACUUCUGUACCCCCACCACCAGUGGUCAGUGGGUCUGCUGUGGAGAUGACUGAAACCAGCUGUGCCCAGACUGGGACAGCCCUAUCUUGUCUGAAAAAAACCUAAGCAAGUGGUGAAAUUAUCCCUUCCAGAUAAUGUAGGUCUUGAGACAUGGUAGUUUCUUGCUCCUUUUUUCAGCAGCAAAACAGUCUUCUGAGCCUCUGGAUAUGCUACUAUAACCAGUUUUUGAAGGGCUGUACUGUAAAACUCAGCUAGCUAAAGUGCCUAUUUCAAAAACAACUGUGCAAAAUCAGCUUUCAGAAAAAGUUAGUAUUGUUCAGAUAAUUUUAUAAGUUUGGCUCACUUGUCCAGUUGAGGAAGAGACAGAAUGUGAUUGAGAGUUGGGGAAGGAAGUGACUGGAAGCAGGGAUGUGUGAAGUGGCAAAGGAAACCCUAUACUCUCCCUUCAAAUCUCACCUGACUUUCCUGGAUCUGCUUUAUGUUUGUGUUACUGUAUGUAGGAAUCUCUCCAACGAGAGGUUCCUGGCAUGGCUUUGGACUCUUUGGAGGUUGUUUGCAUCUAAGCUAAUUGCCUCUCUGCACUGUUGUCUGUAUAUUCUCUAUAAUGCUGUGCUGCCAAUUCAAUCUUUGAUUCAUCUUAAUGAGUUUGUACUUUAUGAAUAAUGAAAAAUCUUUUCUUUCCUCCUAUUGCCGAGCUUGAAAAUAGCAUAUUAUCCUUCCCCACCCUUAGUUCUUAGUAGUUCGGUUUUGUUUGCUUUCUUUAUUUGUUUUUACUGUUACUUUUUUGUUCUUGGGCCAUUUUUAAAUUUGUUUGGUUUACUUUUUAUUGACAAGUGACUGCCCUUACAUAAUAGGGAGAAAACGUAAGCCAGUGAAAGAGACUUUUCCAAUGUUACUCUAGCAUGGUAAAUGUACUGUGAUCUGACUAGAAGCCCAGUGCCAUUUGGGUUUAUGUAGAGACUUGGUACAUAUAAAAUAAAGUGAUCUAUUUAUUUGUCCUUGUUCAGGCUUCUUCUCCAGUGCACCCUGAUUCUUCUUGUCAGUAGCUGGUGGAGAGAUGAAAGUCUGGCUGCUGUUAAGAAAUGCUGCUGUGCAGCAAUGAUAAAAGUUCACAUGCGUCAUCACUUGCAUUUUCUUCUGGGCACAUUCAGCAAAGCUGCUUGUUUCUAUGCUGACAAGAAUUUCCAUCGAUUCCCUGAGACUGGGAACUCUCUGGCAGCCGAAAAUGUAGCCUACUUGAAAUGUGGGCCAUGCAGCUGUCGCUGUUGUUGUGCAAGGUGCUUUAUACCCAUCCCAAUUGGAGUCCCUGUAGGAUUUGCAGUGAGUCCUCAUUUAACAUAAGAAUUCUCUCUGAAUGUGAUUCAUGAUCCCAAGGAGGAUGAUAUGGGGGUUUAUUAGAGAAUGGCUUUAAUGAAACAGUGGACAAAACUCGCAUAACUGUUAGGUGGAACAGGGGCGACUGACAUGAGAAACUUUUGUUUUUUCCUUUCUCUCAGUGACUGCUCAUUGUCAGGGAGGUUCCAAGUCUGCAAGUGUAAUUCAGUCUUUGCGUUUCAUCAAGUGCCUGCCUCAUGCUAAUUCAGUUAUGCCUUAGGUUGCAGCUGUAGUUUUGUUUGUAAGCUGAACAUUUCAUGCCUACCCUCCCAGUGCUUGCCUGUGAGGUUUCAUGGUGCUCACACAAGUUCUCCUGAGUUCCAAGGAGCACUCCACCAGGAACCGGCAGUGCUUUAAUUGAUGUUUCAAAACAAAACAAAAAAACCCAAACAAAAACUCCCAAACCAAAAAGAAAACUCUACCAAAACAGAAAGCAAAGACAAAAAAAAAAAAACCUCAACAAAAAGAAAUGACAAAAAAAAGGCAACACAAGAUUUUGCAACUUUUCUUAUAUCGCUGUUCCCAAUUAUAGUAACUUCCAUACCAACAAAAUAGUAGCUCUAUAUAAUAGUAUAUGCUUACUGUUUGUUGCCAUGUAUUUCAUUUUGUGAGAUACGUUAUGCAGACCAUUUACAUCUGAUACUUCUGAACCAUCUGUCUAGCAAGGGAUGACUGUAACACAUUUUUAGUUUAUGGCUGGGGUUUUGUAGCUGUAUCUUCAGAAAAUAAGCACAAAUCAAAGGUCUGUAGAGAGAAUAUGAUUUAUUAAAUUCCAGAUGAUUAGAUCUACUAUGAAAACUUUACUGUACAAAAUAAUUUUCUUGUCUUUAUGUGGUACCAGAUUUUGAAAGGGGAAACAUGUCUUUUACCUACUGUUUUGUCUGGAAGGAGGGGAGAAGAAAAAGACGAUGAAAAUUGAAACUUUUUGCUUUUGAGACCACUAUCAUACCCAAGGAAAAAGCCUUCUAUUUUGGCUAUUCUACCCAUUUCACUCAGUGCAUGUUAAUUUAUCAGUCCACAAUCUGACCUGCUGGAUUGUCAGUCAGUGAUGAGGCAGAACAAAGAACAGGUAAUCCUUUACUGUUAGUAGAGGAAAGGAGUCAGUCGCUUUUAUGUCCCCCUGUAGUGCAACAUCUCAAAGAAAGUUUUGGGUCAGCAAUUUGCUGGCUGCAGCAGCUGUAUCAUUUCAGGGAUACAAUUUGCUGGGAAAGCUCAUUUAGUGAUUAGUUAAAUGUUACAAUCUCCUGUAAGCUGUGUAUGUAAUACUGCAUUUUAUGGUCUAGCUGUGCAGUGCAGAGCUAUUCUGCAUGUAACACAUGUUAAACAUUAACUACUGCUUGGGUACAGAAGGUGGAGUGUUCUCUCUCUGGUUUCUAUUGGAUGUGUGGCAGUGGAAGAUAAACAUAUAAUGGUAGCUAAUGCCAUAAAGCAGGCAACCAUGAGCAGAGUAGGGCAUCAAGUGCAUUUUUCCUACGUUUUGAAUUUUUCAUGUUCUGCUGUUUCUCUUUAUUGCUUUUGAGGGUUUUCUCCUCCCUCACUUAAGCAAGAUCUGUUUAAAUUUUGUUGAGCUUUGGUUUGGCUUCUUUUAACAAGUGCUGAUUUUAUGCCGUAUGAGAAAACAUCUUCUGGAUACUUUUUGUUCAGUUUAUAACAAUUAUUGUACGAGUAAAGAUGAUGACUUCUUAGCAAAGUACUGUUUAAAAAAAGCCAUUGUAGUCUCAUCUGCCUUUAAUAGAAUAUUGAACUUUGGUUAAUAAUGUCUAUUAUCUGCCUCUUGCCCCCCUCAAAAUAAUGAAACAGUAUCUUACAGUGACAGUUUAAUGUUGGUAUUAAGCUUUUAUGAAGCUUUAAUUCCACUCUUGAAAUUUGAUAUGAUUCAAUUUCUGUGCUUCUGUUUUGUUAGUUAAAAAACCCAAAAAAAAUAUAACCUAACUAAAAUUUGCUACCCAUUCCUGAGCUGACUUUCUUGGAAAAACAGAGGUGUAACUCGUCAUCUCAUCUGUUGCUGAAGAAAACUGAUUUUAGACAGUCUGGAACCCUGAACAGGAGUUCUGCAUGUUGUGAUUGAUUGUGCCCUUGUGCAGAAGAGCAAACUAAAGGAACUGAAUGCCUAACUGUGAAUUUUGCUACAUUUUGUGGUAAAGUGGAAAUGCCUAAGAUGUUAGUUUUAAAUAAAUAAAAAUUUAAAAAAAAAAGUCCUUAAAGUUGUAAGAGAACAGCAGUCACAAAAGUUGAUCCUGAUCAGUACUUCCCUGUAUAUAGUACAGCUUCAGUCAGAUUUAUGAUCAUCUCAUGUAUUUUUGGCCACGGGAUGAUUUUGCUCGAGAACUUGAAAUCUUUCUUCCCCAAGUAACUCAACAAGAUUUGCAUGAAAAAUUGCUCUGUUUUUGCCUUUUCCUUCAGCCCACCUAUAAUCAUCAAACUUUGGUUUUCUAGGGUUGAAGAUUGAGUAUCUAAACUCUUGCCUUAACCUCAGAAGAAGUACCCAGGCCAAUGCAGCCUACCUUUAAGAUCUGCUAAGUUUUCUACCCUUACCUGUAGGCCAUAGUUGGAGUUUUAGUUGUUAACUUUUAUUUCCAUGCCUGCAUGUUUCAGAUGGCAUGCCAAGUAAGAUUUACAGUUUUUUUGGCCCUUGUUUCUUCAUUUAAAGGCUGUAAAUAUUAUGACAAUUGGCAACAUAAAUGAAAUAUUAUCAAAUCCCAUUAAUUUUCUUCACAGUGCUCUUUGAGUGUUCAGGCUGUCCAGAAUUUAUUUUGCAGCUUCAGUGGUGGUGUGGCACUGCAUGACUGCAGUUGCUGUUGAUAGCCAGCAGAUUUCAGGCAGUGUGUGUUAAUCAAGCUUUUCCUGGAGAAUCUGACUUCCUGGGGUAUAAAAUGAUGGCUCUGUGACUUAGGACACUUGUAGGGCAUAACCCUUCCCUAUGUCUUGUACAUUUUUAAUUAUGAUGAACUUUGAAAGCUUGCUUUGAGAGUGAAAUCUGAUGCUGUUGGAAUAGUUGCAGACAAGAAUGGCAUGUCACUCUCUGUUUCCUGAGGAAAAUAAAAAGAAAUGGUAAUGCAAUUCUUCCAAAUAAAUAGAAUUGCUCUUUUGAUAUUAUUUUCCUUUGUGUAUCUCUUCUCACAAAUUUGAACUUGAAAAGAAAAACACCCAAACAAACCCACACUGACCAGUUUUUAAAAAAGCAUUUUCUUUU